rnacentral:rRNA from 1 species
AACUUGGUCAUUUAGAGGAAGUUAAAGUCGUAACAAGGUUUCCGUAGGUGAACCUGCGGAAGGAUCAUUAUCGAGUUCUGACUGGGUUGUAGCUGGUCUUCCGAGGCAUGUGCACGCCCUGCUCAUCCACUCUACACCUGUGCACUUACUGUGGGUUUACGGGUCGUGAAACGGGCUCGUUUAUUCGGGCUUGUUGAGCGCACUUGUUGCCUGCGUUUAUCACAAACUCUAUAAAGUAUCAGAAUGUGUAUUGCGAUGUAACGCAUCUAUAUACAACUCUCAGCAACGGAUCUCUUGGCUCUCGCAUCGAUGAAGAACGCAGCGAAAUGCGAUAAGUAAUGUGAAUUGCAGAAUUCAGUGAAUCAUCGAAUCUUUGAACGCACCUUGCGCUCCUUGGUAUUCCGAGGAGCAUGCCUGUUUGAGUGUCAUGAAAUCUUCAAUCUACAGACUUCUUAUGGGGCUUGUAGGCUUGGACUUGGAGGCUUGUCGGUCCCUUUACAAGGUCGGCUCCUCUUAAAUGCAUUAGCUUGGUUCCUUGCGGAUCGGCUUGUCGGUGUGAUAAUGUCUACGCCGCGACCGUGAAGCGUGUUUGGGCGAGCUUCUAAUCGUCUCGUUACAGAGACAACCUUUAUGACCUCUGACCUCAAAUCAGGUAGGACUACCCGCUGAACUUAAGCAUAUCAAUAAGCGGAGGAAAAGAAACUAACAAGGAUUCCCCUAGUAAC